rnacentral:rRNA from 1 species
CACAAUGCCCAGAUUACUGCCCAAAACCACCAGAUUCCAUCUGAUCUUGAAAGCUAAGCAGUGUAAGGUCUGGUAAAUACUUGGGUGAGGGAUCACCGGCAAAUACCAGGUGCUUUUGAGC